rnacentral:rRNA from 1 species
CCUACGGGAGGCAGCAGUGAGGAAUAUUGGUCAAUGGGCGGAAGCCUGAACCAGCCAAGUAGCGUGCGGGAUGAAGGCCCUACGGGUCGUAAACCGCUUUUGCACGGGGAUAACACCCUCCACUUGUGGAGGUCUGCAGGUACCGUGCGAAUAAGGGCCGGCUAAUUCCGUGCCAGCAGCCGCGGUAAUACGGAAGGCCCGAGCGUUAUCCGGAUUCAUUGGGCUUAAAGGGAGCGUAGGCGGGCGUUCAAGUCAGCUGUAAAAUCGCGCGGCUCAACCGCGCCCCGCAGUUGAAACUGGACGCCUUGAGUUCACAACAGGCAGGCGGAAUUCGUGGUGUAGCGGUGAAAUGCAUAGAUAUCUGGAGGAACAUCAGUGGCGAAGGCGACUAUCUGGCACAUAACUGACGCUGAGGAGCGAAAGCGUGGGUAGCAAACAGGAUUAGAUACCCCAGUAGUC